GUCGAACGAGACUUUUUAUUUGAUGCUUGCAUCUUUUAAAAAGUUGAGUGGCGAACGGGUGAGUAACACGUGGGUAACCUACCUUAAAGUGGGGGAUAACACUUGGAAACAGGUGCUAAUACCGCAUAACCAUCAAAACCGCCUGGUUUUGAUGUUAAAGAUGGUUCUGCUAUCGCUUUAAGAUGGACCCGCGGCGUAUUAGCUAGUUGGUGAGGUAACGGCUUACCAAGGCAAUGAUACGUAGCCGAACUGAGAGGUUGAUCGGCCACAUUGGGACUGAGACACGGCCCAAACUCCUACGGGAGGCAGCAGUAGGGAAUCUUCCACAAUGGACGAAAGUCUGAUGGAGCAACGCCGCGUGAGUGAAGAAGGUUUUCGGAUCGUAAAACUCUGUUGUCAGAGAAGAACGUGUGUGAGAGUAACUGUUCACGCAGUGACGGUAUCUGACCAGAAAGUCACGGCUAACUACGUGCCAGCAGCCGCGGUAAUACGUAGGUGGCAAGCGUUGUCCGGAUUUAUUGGGCGUAAAGGGAACGCAGGCGGUCUUUUAAGUCUGAUGUGAAAGCCUUCGGCUUAACCGAAGUCGGGCAUUGGAAACUGGGAGACUUGAGUGCAGAAGAGGAGAGUGGAACUCCAUGUGUAGCGGUGAAAUGCGUAGAUAUAUGGAAGAACACCAGUGGCGAAAGCGGCUCUCUGGUCUGUAACUGACGCUGAGGUUCGAAAGCGUGGGUAGCAAACAGGAUUAGAUACCCUGGUAGUCCACGCCGUAAACGAUGAAUGCUAAGUGUUGGAGGGUUUC
rnacentral:rRNA from 1 species